CAAGCUCCUCUGUCUUUUUUAUACCCUAAAGAUACAAAAGGAGCCUAAAAGAAUUUUUGCUUGGCCUUGAUAAGACUAGGGAGGGAUGUGCGAAGAUCUUCACUUUACCUACGAGUAUAACAUGAAAGACUGUAAUGAAGAUGGAGCCUGACUCACCUCAGGAGUGUACUACGGAAAGAGCUUGCAGGACCUGUGCUGUUUUGGGCUGCAGCUAUGAUCAAACUCCAAACGGGAAAAAGAAUACUGGUAUUACACAAAUGUGUUUUCCUUGAAGCUUUGGCACCCUGGCUGAGCUGUGCCCAGGGCCGCCCGGGCUCUCUACACGGAGCCUGUCUGGCCGGCCCCCAGCCCUGAAACACCGUGAGGACUGCUCAGAGUGACCACAGGCUUCACUGUCACGAGGAAAAAACUUAAUGCAGAUUUAGGUGAUGGCAAAUGCUACAGGCUCCUGCCACCACAAAAGCCAUAGAGUGAGCCAGUUCUGACCCCAGAGUGUGCAGUGAGGAUGCACUGGGAAGGAAAAAUACUGUUGGCAGACUUUUUCAUGCGAUGUAACAGCUGCAAAGUUAAAUAACACAUAAUACAGUGAAUCACAGAUAGCUGCCUCUUCUGUAUCAACUUUUAGGUCAGCUUAAUGUUAGUUGAGGAAAUUUUCUAUUUUUAACAAUUUUACAGCAGGAACUAGAUUGCCAUGGACAGACAAUCCAUCAUGCAAGCCAGCUCUUCUUCGAAAUUAGUCAGUUGAGAUUAUGGGCAGGCUUCAAAUCCCUGCUUUUUCAGCUGAGCCACAACAGGCUCCAAGCCUUUGGUACAUACCACAACAGACACAAAAAGAGGGGGGCUCUUUACGCUGACUAGUAAAGAGGUCAGAAAUUUCCUAAUAAAUCAUUACAGAAAUCAGAUAUUUUUCAUGUCAGCUGUUAAGCACUUUAAGAAAACACAGGCAGGUUCUUUCUCUGGAAAAGAAAGUCUGAGAAUAACAAGCCUUUCCUUAUUUAUUUUAAAAUGUUUAAUCUCAUCUGUUCCAUCUUAAAGCUAUUCACCAUUUUCAAAUGCAAGAUUUGAUUGUUGUUUAGCCUUUUGGGACAAAUCCUUCCCAAUCCUUAGCACCAGUGAACCUGAAGAUCUCCCCAGUCGUAUUUGGACUGUGUCUCAAAAGGUACUUUUCCUUCAGAAGCCGGAUAAUGACUCUAAAUACCCAGGAAACCUUCAGAAGCAAAAAGGGAGAGAUCUGCCUCCCAAAGAAGAACACCAGGAUCUUUUUCCAUACUUCAUUUUUACCUAAGACCUAAGGUAACACAAGUAUUUUUUGGUACCUUUAGGUCAUUUAGUUUACAGCUCUGGAU